CGCGCAGGGAGUGCGGCCUGGGCUUGGAAGGCGGGGGAGGAGAACUUUAACCGGCACAGUUCGGCAUCCGGAAUCGCUAGCGCCCCUCUCUGGGCUUUAGGAGGGUCGGGCCGUGAAGCACCCCGGAGCUUAACCUUCAGCACAGUCACCAGUAAAGAGGAGACUCUCAUGCGGAAGAUGCCAAAUGAAGACAAGAGUCCCUGGAGGAUGAGAAGUCACGUGGAGGAGAGGUGAGGCACAUCACCCAACAACCAGCCAUGUUGGCAGAGAUUUAAGGAAAUUCUUUGGGGAGGCCCCUGCAAAGUCCGUCUUCUAAAAUAUGAAUGGUGUUGAUGGAAAAAGCUGAAAAGCUUUUUUUGAGCAUGAAUCGGACUACCAUCAUGUGGCCAACAGUGUGGCUCUUUUCCCACCAAACCCAGUACCAGAAGGACCAUUAAGAAGAGCUGAGUGGACUUUCAAGCUCCCUGCCCAUCCCUCUGAUGGAGAUGUUAAUGAAUCAACCAAACUGCCAGAAAAGAAGACUGCAGGAAGGAAAGUGAAAACUCAGGAGCCUGGGCCACUGCCAAGCUAGAAACGCAGACGCUGAGGAAAUGGAAGGUACUGGAGGACUAACGUAAAGGAGCAACCCACAGACCCACGCCUUGGGAGCACUGCGCUAUAGUUUCCAGAAGGUGGAGGGCCGUCUUAUUUGGCAGUGCUGCCCCACCCAGAUCACGUUCUGUCCCCAGUGUGACCAGCUGGGUGUUCACCUGAGCUGAGCAAGAGUGAGCUGGAACCAGGAGCCUGGCUUUCUGGCUCACAGUACCGAGGAGCAGGCAAUGGACUCGUCCAAGCACUCUCUCCUUACUUGAGCACGGUUUGCUAACAGGAUGAGGAAAGGGAGAGGAAGACAAAGACUUUGUUUUUUAGGACAACUUUGUAAAUCCCACUGUAAAUCUUAUUGGUUUCCUCCUCAUGCUGCUUUCUAUUUGAUCUUUAUCUAUUUUGUUUGUUUAUUAACAUCAUAACAGCAAGGUCUCACAAUCCUUUUGAACCCCGGUGCAGUUUUAAUGAACAUAAAAACUGUCCAUGGUCUCUAAAGGUUAUUUGAAAUUCCAAAAUAAAUAGCAC